UUUGCUCUUGAUCUUACACUCACUUCAAUCUUAACGAAGACAUGCGAGAACGGAUUGAUAGGUAAACAAAUCAGGUCAUUAGUCUGACAAAAUGUUCAUCCAAAUUGCCCAGACCUUUUCUAAUAGAUUCCUAUGUUUGCUUAGAUGGACUGCCGGUAACUGCCGCUCUUCAUUUUAGUUAUGUUGGAUCUUAAUGAAACAGUCGCAGAUUGAAAUAAUACUAUUACAUAUCCAAAAUGAAGCACCAAUAUAGGUUUCAUUCUCAAUCGUUUGCUGGGUUACGAUUUGCAAACCAGUAAGUCUAUAUCUGCAAACCACCCUUUUUUAUAUAAACUUUGUUUGUUGGCAUGAAAAUAUAGCUUAAUCAUGAACUACUCAAAUUGUCUUGCUUAUAGAUAAAUAAUUACAUAACAGCAACAGUAUUCUGAACAAUACUGAUGGUGGAAAACUCUGAAGAUUUCUCAUUUCAAUACCUCACAGAGAAAACAUGUGCAGCAUAAUUUCCAAAUUAAGCUCCAAGCAAAAAUUUAAAUAAAUCAAUCAACCAAGCAAGUUAUCCUAAUCUAAGAAAUUGAAAAAAAAAAAAAAAAAAAAAAAAUUAAAAAAAAAAAAAAAAAAAAAAACUGAUCUAGUUUCGAACAAAAGAAUCAAUUAUUUUAAGCGAAUCAUUAAAACACCCAGAGUGAUGCGCUACAAAUUCAGCAAAAAGGACACGAGAAUUUAAUGCAAAACUUUGGGGGGGGGGUGGAGAAGUUACCAAAGGAACGGGAGACCGAGCUGCAAAAGAAUCAAUGGGCAAAGGCAGAGGCUUGGCUCCAAUCAAAAGGAGUGGAGAUUAUUGAAGCCGAGAGGAACCAAAGUUUUAGAAUUAAGUGAUACAGCUUGUUGUGUUUUGU
rnacentral:lncRNA from 1 species